UGAGUUUACGCUCUACAACCCUUUGUGAACAUACCUAUAACUGUUGCUUCGGCGGGUAGGGUCUCCGUGACCCUCCCGGCCUCCCGCCCCCGGGCGGGUCGGCGCCCGCCGGAGGAUAACCAAACUCUGAUUUAACGACGUUUCUUCUGAGUGGUACAAGCAAAUAAUCAAAACUUUUAACAACGGAUCUCUUGGUUCUGGCAUCGAUGAAGAACGCAGCGAAAUGCGAUAAGUAAUGUGAAUUGCAGAAUUCAGUGAAUCAUCGAAUCUUUGAACGCACAUUGCGCCCGCCAGCAUUCUGGCGGGCAUGCCUGUUCGAGCGUCAUUUCAACCCUCAAGCUCUGCUUGGUGUUGGGGCCCUACAGCUGAUGUAGGCCCUCAAAGGUAGUGGCGGACCCUCCCGGAGCCUCCUUUGCGUAGUAACUUUACGUCUCGCACUGGGAUCCGGAGGGACUCUUGCCGUAAAACCCCCAAUUUUCCAAAGGUUGACCUCGGAUCAGGUAGGAAUACCCGCUGAACUUAAGCAUAUCAAUAAGCGGAGGAAAAGAAACCAACAGGGAUUGCCUCAGUAACGGCGAGUGAAGCGGCAACAGCUCAAAUUUGAAAUCUGGCCCUAGGCCCGAGUUGUAAUUUGCAGAGGAUGCUUUUGGUGCGGUGCCUUCCAAGUUCCCUAGAACGGGACGCCAGAGAGGGUGAGAGCCCCGUACAGUUGGACACCAAGCCUUUGUAAAGCUCCUUCGACGAGUCGAGUAGUUUGGGAAUGCUGCUCAAAAUGGGAGGUAUAUUUCUUCUAAAGCUAAAUACCGGCCAGAGACCGAUAGCGCACAAGUAGAGUGAUCGAAAGAUGAAAAGCACUUUGAAAAGAGGGUUAAACAGCACGUGAAAUUGUUAAAAGGGAAGCGCUUGUGACCAGACUUGCGUCCGGUGAAUCACCCAGCUCUCGCGGCUGGGGCACUUCGCCGGCUCAGGCCAGCAUCAGCUCGCUGUCGGGGACAAAAGCUUCAGGAACGUAGCUCUSUUCGGGGAGUGUUAUAGCCUGUUGCAUAAUACCCUUCGGCGGGCUGA
rnacentral:misc_RNA from 1 species